rnacentral:pre_miRNA from 1 species
AAGUUCUUGGGAUGCGUACCAGAUGCGCGUUUACAAUGGAUUUGAAAAAUGACGUGUAAAUGCACUAUCUGGUACGACAUUCCAGGAUCU